rnacentral:rRNA from 1 species
UACGUAGGGGGCAAGCGUUGUCCGGAUUUAUUGGGCGUAAAGAGCUCGUAGGUGGUUCGGUAAGUCGGAUGUGAAAUCUCCAGGCUCAACCUGGAGGGGUCAUUCGAUACUGCCGUGACUAGAGUUCGGUAGGGGAGUGUGGAAUUCCUGGUGGAGCGGUGAAAUGCGCAGAUAUCAGGAGGAACACCGAUGGCGAAGGCAGAUCUCUGGGCCGUAACUGACGCUGAGGAGCGAAAGCAUGGGGAGCGAACAGG